rnacentral:rRNA from 1 species
GUCCACGCCGUAAACGGUGGGCGCUAGUUGUGGGAACCUUCCACGGUUUCUGCGACGCAGCUAACGCAUUAAGCGCCCCGCCUGGGGAGUACGAUCGCAAGAUUAAAACUCAAAGGAAUUGACGGGGCCCCGCACAAGCAGCGGAGCAUGCGGCUUAAUUCGACGCAACGCGAAGAACCUUACCAAGGCUUGACAUAUACAGGAAUAUGGCAGAGAUGUCAUAGCCGCAAGGUCUGUAUACAGGUGGUGCAUGGUUGUCGU